GCAAGCCAGGAAGAGGCCUCCCCGGGACCUGAGUGGGCUGCACCUUGAUCUUGGACUUCCAGCCUCCAGACCUGUGAGAGUAAAUCCCACUUGUCUAAGUCCCUUGACCGUGUCGUUUGUUACAGAAGCCUGAGCAGGUGAGCACAGAGGAUGGGACUGCUCACAGGCCAUCUGCCGCCUUUGCUUUUCUUGCCACAUUUCCGGCCAGAGGCCCAGCCCACCCACAGCGGCACCAAGUGAGUGCCCAGCAGCUGUCAGCCCCUCCCCAUCCCAGCCCUUCCUCAGUGUGGUCCAGGAAGAACUCACCUCACCGGCUACUCUUCCAGGAGAGAAAUACUGUCUCAUCCCUCAUGAUGACCGCACAGGACAGGCACAGGGGGUAAUCAUCAAUGGCAUCCCACUCCAGCACUCUCACCUGGAAAAUCCCAUGGAUGGAGGAGCCUGGUGGGCUGCAGUCUAUGGGGUCACUAAGAGUCAGACACGACUGAGCAACUUCACUUUCACUUUUCACUUUCAUGCAUUGGAGAAGGAAAUGGCAACCCACUCCAAUAUUCUUACCUGGAGAAUCCCAAGGAUGGGGGAGCCUGGCGGGCUGCCGUCUGUGGGGUCGCACAGAGUCAGACAUGACUGAAGCGACUUAGCAGCAGCAGCAUGGUUUAAACAAAGUGUCAAAAUGUUUUCCAAACCAUGGAAAUACAAUGCAGCCUCCAGUUCUUAUCCAGAGGGCAC
rnacentral:lncRNA from 1 species